rnacentral:rRNA from 1 species
GAUGAACGCUGGCGGCGUGCCUAAUACAUGCAAGUCGAGCGAACAGAUAAGGAGCUUGCUCCUUUGACGUUAGCGGCGGACGGGUGAGUAACACGUGGGUAACCUACCUAUAAGACUGGGAUAACUUCGGGAAACCGGAGCUAAUACCGGAUAAUAUUUCGAACCGCAUGGUUCGAUAGUGAAAGAUGGUUUUGCUAUCACUUAUAGAUGGACCCGCGCCGUAUUAGCUAGUUGGUAAGGUAACGGCUUACCAAGGCGACGAUACGUAGCCGACCUGAGAGGGUGAUCGGCCACACUGGAACUGAGACACGGUCCAGACUCCUACGGGAGGCAGCAGUAGGGAAUCUUCCGCAAUGGGCGAAAGCCUGACGGAGCAACGCCGCGUGAGUGAUGAAGGUCUUCGGAUCGUAAAACUCUGUUAUUAGGGAAGAACAUACGUGUAAGUAACUGUACACGUCUUGACGGUACCUAAUCAGAAAGCCACGGCUAACUACGUG